UAUCUCUGUAGAGUCUGCAUAUCAAUAAGCGGAGGAAAAGAAACUAACAAGGAUUCCCUUAGUAACGGCGAGUGAAGCGGGAAGAGCUCAAAUUUGAAAUCUUCAAGGUUUUACCUUGACGAAUUGUAGUUUAAAGAAGUGUUUUCUGUUGGAAGUUUUCGGUAAAAGUUCUUUGGAAUAGGACAUCAUAGAGGGUGAGAAUUCCCGUAUUUGACCAUUACUUCCAGCGUUGUGAUACACUUUCAAAGAGUCGGAUUGUUUGGGAAUGCAGUCCAAAAUGGGUGGUAAAUUUCAUCUAAAGCUAAAUAUUGGCGAGAGACCGAUAGCGAACAAGUACCGUGAGGAAAGAUGAAAAGAACUUUGAAAAGAGAGUUAAACAGUACGUGAAAUUGUCAAAAGGGAAGCGUUUGACACCAGUGUUGUUUUCUCGAAAAUCAAUUAAAAAAGGCAGGAUUUUGUGUUGUAUUGACUUUAUCAGCUUUCUGCACUCUUUUCUUGUCUUUUUUAAUGCACUUUUCGUUUAACAAGUCAACAUCAAUUUCUUUUGUUGUAAAAGGGUCAUUGGAAGGUGGCUUUCUUUUCGGAGAAAGUGUUUAUAGCCUUUGGCCUCUGCAAUCGGAGAGAUUGAGGUCUGCAGCGUAGAUCCUUCGGGGUUAGAUACAUUUGUGCUAAGUUAUAGCCUUUCAUAGACAACUUGUUGACUAUGAUCAGUCAUGUAGCUUACUCGCUUAUGCUAUUUUACCUACGCUUAGGAUGUUGAUAGUCACAGCGUGUAC
rnacentral:rRNA from 1 species